GACGGAGGAUGCAAGUGUUAUCCGGAAUCACUGGGCGUAAAGCGUCUGUAGGUGGUUUAAUAAGUCCACUGUUAAAGGUUGAAGCUUAACUUCAAAAAUGCUGUGGAAACUUUUAAACUAGAGUAUGGUAGGGGUAGAGGGAAUUUCCAGUGGAGCGGUGGAAUGCGUAGAUAUUGGAAAGACCACCAAUGGCGAAGGCACUCUACUGGGCCAUUACUGACACUGAGAGACGAAAGCUAGGGGAGCGAAUGGG
rnacentral:rRNA from 1 species